rnacentral:rRNA from 1 species
AACUGUGAGACAGGUGCUGCAUGGCUGUCGUCAGCUCGUGUUGUGAAAUGUUGGGUUAAGUCCCGCAACGAGCGCAACCCUUAUCCUUUGUUGCCAGCGGUCCGGCCGGGAACUCAAAGGAGACUGCCAGUGAUAAACUGGAGGAAGGUGGGGAUGACGUCAAGUCAUCAUGGCCCUUACGACCAGGGCUACACACGUGCUACAAUGCCGCAUACAAAGAGAAGCGACCUCGCGAGAGCAAGCGGACCUCAUAAAGUGCGUCGUAGUCCGGAUUGGAGUCUGCAACUCGACUCCAUGAAGUCGGAAUCGCUAGUAAUCGUGGAUCAGAAUGCCACGGUGAAUACGUUCCCGGGCCUUGUACACACCGCCCGUCACACCAUGGGAGUGGGUUGCAAAAGAAGUAGGUAGCUUAACCUUCGGGAGGGCGCUUACCACUUUGUGAUUCAUGACUGGGGUGAAGUCGUAACAAGGUAACCGUAGGGGAACCUGCGGCUGGAUCACCUC